UACGUAGGGUGCGAGCGUUAAUCGGAAUUACUGGGCGUAAAGCGUGCGCAGGCGGUUUGUUAAGCCAGAUGUGAAAGCCCCGGGCUCAACCUGGGAACUGCGUUUGGUACUGGCAAGCUAGAGUACGGCAGAGGGGGGUGGAAUUCCACGUGUAGCAGUGAAAUGCGCAGAUAUCAGGAGGAACACCAAUAGCGAAGGCAGCUCGCUGGGACGUUACUGACACUGAGGCGCGGAAGCGUGGGGAGCGAACAGG
rnacentral:rRNA from 1 species